CCUACGGGUGGCAGCAGUGAGGAAUAUUGGUCAAUGGCCGUAAGGCUGAACCAGCCAAGUAGCGUGAGGGAAGACUGCCCUAUGGGUUGUAAACCUCUUUUAUGCGGGGAUAAAGGUGUCCACGUGUGGAUGUUUGCAGGUACCGCAUGAAUAAGGACCGGCUAAUUCCGUGCCAGCAGCCGCGGUAAUACGGAAGGUCGGGGCGUUAUCCGGAUGUAUUGGGUUUAAAGGGAGCGUAGGCCGGUCUUUAAGCGUGCCGUGAAAUUUUGUGGCUCAACCAUGAGAGUGCGGCGGGAACUGGAGGCCUUGAGUGCGCGGAAGGCAGGCGGAAUUCGUGGUGUAGCGGUGAAAUGCUUAGAUAUCACGAAGAACCCCGAUUGCGAAGGCAGCCUGCCGCAGCGUUACUGACGCUGAAGCUCGAAAGCGCGGGUAUCGAACAGGAUUAGAUACCCGGGUAGUC
rnacentral:rRNA from 1 species